rnacentral:rRNA from 1 species
AGCGAACGCUGGCGGCAGGCUUAACACAUGCAAGUCGAACGGGCACUCCGGUGCUAGUGGCAGACGGGUGUGUAACACGUGGGAACGUACCUUUCGGUUCGGAAUAAUCCAGGGAAACUUGGACUAAUACCGGAUACGCCCUUCGGGGGAAAGAUUCAUCGGCGAUAGAUCGGCCCGCGUCUGAUUAGCUAGUUGGUGAGGUAAUGGCUCACCAAGGCGACGAUCAGUAGCUGGUCUGAGAGGAUGAUCAGCCACAUUGGGACUGAGACACGGCCCAAACUCCUACGGGAAGCAGCAGUGGGGAAUAUUAGACAAUGGGCGCAAGCCUGAUCCAGCCAUGCCGCGUGAGUGAUGAAGGCCUUAGGGUUGUAAAGCUCUUUUGGCCGGGAAGACAAUGACGGUACCGGAAGAAUAAGCCCCGGCUAACUUCGUG